GGUGGCUCAGUGGCAGAGCGCUUGCCUUGCAUGCAUAAGGCCCUGGGUUCGAUUCCCCAGCACCA
rnacentral:tRNA from 1 species